GAUGAACGCUAGCGGCAGGCUUAAUACAUGCAAGUCGAGGGGUAGCAAGAUUGUAGCAAUACAAUUGUUGACGACCGGCAAACGGGUGCGGAACACGUACACAACCUUCCUACAAGUGGGGAAUAGCCCAGAGAAAUUUGGAUUAAUACCCCGUAACAUAGCGAUGUGGCAUCACAUUGCUAUUAUAGCUUCGGCGCUUGUUGAUGGGUGUGCGGCUGAUUAGAUAGUUGGCGGGGUAACGGCCCACCAAGUCUACGAUCAGUAGCUGAUGUGAGAGCAUGGUCAGCCACACGGGCACUGAGACACGGGCCCGACUCCUACGGGAGGCAGCAGUGGGGAAUUUUGGACAAUGGGCGCAAGCCUGAUCCAGCCAUGCCGCGUGUCUGAAGAAGGCCUUCGGGUUGUAAAGGACUUUUGUCCGGGAGCAAAUGCUGGUGGCUAACAUCCACCGGAGCUGAGAGUACCGGAAGAAUAAGCACCGGCUAACUUCGUGCCAGCCGCCGCUGUAACAC
rnacentral:rRNA from 1 species